rnacentral:lncRNA from 1 species
GUCAGCAGCACUGGGACAGCGGGGGAACGGGUGUGCAGUGUCCUCAGUGCCGUGGCAGACAGCACCUGUGGGUGCUCUAGCUCUUUCCCUCGGAGUCACCGGAGGCAGAGCCUCCCCUACGCGGAGUAGAGGAGCAGCUCACAUGGCAGCUGCCACAGAGGACACCAGGUCAUGCCAACACCCCCACAACUCCUGCCCGCCUGCAGGCAGCUCUGGGCUCAGGACACCGCCUCCAAGAACCUUUAUAGCGCAGCUCUCCAAAUCUUGGAGGCAAGGACAUUCUAUGUGGCCGCCCUGGAAAGGCCUGAACCUAUAAUAUCUGGGCUGCGAUGGUUUCUGAGGUGGACACCAGGACCAACACUUGUCAGCAUGGCACAAUCAGGCAUUUCUCCUCUAAGAGGAUGUGCAGCCAAAAACUCAGCUGUCUGUGAGCUGUCUUCUCCCAGGAACGAGGACAUAAGAUGUACAUCAGGUUUUGAUAUUAGGGUAAUACUGGCCUUAUAGAAUGAGUUAGGAAAAGUUGCCCCUUUCUCCACUUUCUGAAAGAGUUUGUGUAACACAGGUCUGAACUGCACAGAUCCACUUACAUGUGGAUUUUCUUCCACUGCGGCCCCUCCUGAGACAGCAAGACCAACCCCUCCUUUUCAUCCUCCUCCUCCUCCUCAGCCUGCUCAACAUGAAAAUGACAAGGAUGAAACCUUUAUGAUGAUCCACUCAUCCAUUUACUUUUCUCUAGCUUAUUAUAUUGGGAACAUCUUAGGCUAGUGUGUCGACUUCUGACUUGGCUCCUCUGAACCCAAGACCUUGGACACGUUCACAAACACCCCAGGGUGUUGGGCUUCCAGUUUGCUCUGGCAGGACAAAGGGCAGGUGAAGCUUGUUUGCCGUAACUAGAAGGAGCAGAACCUGCUCCCAGCAGAACAAGAUCAAAUCAUGGGGAAUAGUGGUCACCUGCCAUUUCUAGAGGAAGGUUUUGCUUUUGGUCACUGAGGACCCUAAGUCUACAUGAGAAGAAAACAAAUAGGGUGAUGCUGCAUGCUUCUGACCCCAAAGAAUCCCUGUGCAGGUGCCGAGGGUGCCCCAAAGAUGAGGCUGUGCUUGCCGUGCCAACCACAGAAGCACAUUUGACCUGAUCAAAAGCAGGCGGAAAAGGUCCUGAAGCACAGAUAUUUUCUCAGUGAUGUUGUUUUCUCCAAAAUGAAAGGGGGAAGGUACCCUGGCUUAGGCCCCUGGUGUUCUGAUUGAAGGUGAGAAUAGAAGUAUCUUCUUCAAUGUGUUCUCCCAUCUGACUGCAACAAGUGUGCUCCAGCCACCAAUGUCCCAGUUGCUCUGAAUGAUGGUGAGAAGGGUACCCAAACACUUGAAUGGUACUGUACCCUCCACUUGCCACCUGAAUCCUCACUUGUGGACCCCAGGCACUCUGGCUGCAUUUGUGAGUAAGCAUAGGUGUGGGGCUGUGUCCUGCCAUUGCACCAUCUUUAAUCUGGACUUGUGGACCUCAGGCUGUCUAUUCAUGGACAGAAGUUUCUGCAGGCACAGGUGGGGUGCUGUUUCCUCCCAUUGUACACCUGAAUUCUGGACUUGUGGACCCCAGGUGUUCUGGCUGUGUUCAUAAACAGAAGUGUCCCCCCCCAAACAAACCCAUAUAUGGUGCCAUCUCCUCCCAUUGCAGGCAUUGCACUGCCUAUACUCUGGAUUUAUGGCCCUCACAUGCUCUGACUGUAUUCAUAAACAGUAGUUUCUUCAGUCACAGAUAUGGCACUAGCCCCUCCAACAGAAACAGAUGUGCUCAAGCUGAGUGGUCCGCAGGUGUUUGACAGAAGUCAUGAACAGAAGUAUCUUGGGGCACAUGUUUCUUCUCUGUUGUGCAGGCUUCUCCAGUAGUAACAGAUUUGCUCUGGCCAUAUGGGCCCCAAGUGCUUUGACCAGACACAAGAAGAGAAGACUUUCAGUCACAGGUAGUGUGUUGUCCCCCGCUACUGCAACAUAGGUGCUUGGAAAGGUGCAACAGGGUGCUCUGCUUGUGGUGGAAACAUAAAGGCCUCCAAGC